AAGAGAAGGAAAAAAAAUACGUAUAGUUGUACACUGGACAAAUCUCCUGCAGAGCAACAAGAUUUCCUAGUGGAAAAAUGAUUAAUAAUUCAAAAAUUCUCUUAAUCUUCAGAUUUGUACAUUUUAAUUAAAUUGGAAAUUGCUGACAUGUAAUUAUGUACUCAGAACAAUUAAAUGAUUCCGGUCCACAAAUUACCUGUUAAAGUAAACAAUGAACCUGUCAAAACUGGCAUUAUCUAUUAGUACCAGGAUGGAUAAUGCUGUCAUUGUUGUUUCUUUACCCAGAUAUUAAGAUUGAAUAUUUGUGAGAGGAGUGGGAAUAUGACCUAAUUUCUUCAUAUUAAAAGUGUACAUUAUUUUAAAACAUUCAUUUUUAUACAUAAUUUUAUCAUCUGCUGGAAUUCUAUGCCCUUCCUCAUAUCACAUCAUGUAAAGUCAUUUACUUCAUUAAAAGAUGGUCUUUCCUCAAAAUUUUACUAGGAAGAGAUAGAUAUAAGCAAAUCAUAAAUGGUUGGAUUCACUCUUAAUUCAAUCUCAACUAUACUCUAACUAUAAAACCUACAAUCAAACAGCCUAAUGGAAGUGGGUAUUGCUUUCUGGGGCUUUAACACAGAGCGAAAUAAAAUUUUUAAUAGUUACUUAAGUAUUAAGAGUAAAGACAUUGAAAAGCUAGCCUUGUCGUUUUUACUGCUUCCAAACUGACAUGGAGUUCUGCCAACAAGAACUGAAUUCUCCUUGUAUCAUGGAACAGAGUCUUUUGGGAGAAAUAGACUGGAUCUUUCAUAGAUCUCCCUAUACUGUACAUUCACACACGUUACUUCUUCGUGCAGCUGACUUGGUGACAAUGCUUCUCCUGUUUUCUGCAUUUCUUCAUAUCACGCUAUUAGGCACUGGAGCAGCAAUGGGGCAGUACAGACCAUCCAGCAUACAAGUAUCAGACACACAGAGCAUGGGACCCAUGGAACAAGCAGGCCAAGAUGCAAUGACCAUUUCCAAGACAUAUGCAAGGUGCACUGAGCAGUAUGAAUUCAAGUUUCACCCUAAUUAUAUUUAACAGUUGGUAGCCUGUAUCUUCAUCAUCCUGUACCUGAGCCUGGAUUCAGUGAAGCAUUGUCAUGUGCCUCAACCUGAAUUAGGGGCAUAUGUGAAGACAAGUAUCCUGACAUUUUUUUAAACAUUGAUUACAAGCUACAGUGUAAUGGUGGGGUCUUCAUUUAUCUCAUCCUACAGUCAAGUGCAUAUUUGAAGCAACACAGAGUUCUAUGAAUUCUUCAGCAUCUGGAGUCCGAAGCAACAAGCAGUAUAUAGUAAGCAAGCUGUGCUGACUGCCCGUUUCCAUCUCUGAAGAAGGAGGGAGUACUGAAUGAAAGCGGAAUGCCAGGCUACGCGGUAUCCAACGGCUUUGCUCCUCUAACGGUUAUGCGUUGAAUAAGCACAAAUAAAAACGUGGAUAUGUAUGAGACAGUUUGGGUAAGAAGAAAAGAAUCAUAAAAAAUCCCGUGAUUAAUUAAGUUAAGAAGCACAGACGGCUUAGGGAGUCUUUUAAUUUGGAAAUUGUUCUACUCUACAAGGCCAAGCUAGAGAAAGAAGCCAAGCCCCUGUGUUCUACACAGGUUCUGACAAAUGUUCAAUGUACAGUAUGCAGAUGAUUUAAAGAAUUUUCCUACACAUUGAUCUGAGGGUCAAGAACUAAAAAGUAAUACCUCAUAGUACCAAUGAUCCACACCGUGUGAUAUUUUGAACAAAUAUGCUUUUCAACAUAAUACAGUAAGUAGCAUAAGAACUCCGAAUGUUGUAUCAGGCUAGCUUCCUGUACAGAUGUAGGCAAAACUUUCAGACUUCAAUUUAUACAUAAAUUGGCUGACUUCAAUUGCACUUGUAUGCAUUUGUAUUUAUUUUUAACCUUGAUUUUUGAUGGAGUGUGUAUACACGUUUGUGCAAGUGUGUGUAUGUCUGUGGGUUGAAGCCAGACUGCUAACCUAAGUGUCUUCCUCAAUAAUUCUCAACUUCAUAUUUCCAUAGAAGUUCAUUCACUGAACCCAGAGCCCCGUGAUUCAACUAGAUUUAACUGGGGAGCAAUCACUAACGGAAUCCUGUGUCAGUCUGAAUAGCACUCAAAUUCAGGUAUGCAUUAAAUGUCAUGCCUGGCAUGCUUCCUGGGUACUGGGGAUCUGAGCUCAGUCUACAGGCUUUGCAGCAAGUAUUGCGCACACUGAGCAAUUUCCUAGCCCCUGUGCAAAUGUUCUGAUAUUAGUUGUUUUAUAAUUAUAUUGACAUGUCAUGAGUUGAAUUGUCUCAAUGCUUCUCUGUUUCAAAAGAAAAAAGUAGUGUUUAAAGAAAACAUGUAUCCUUUCACUUCAAAAUUUAAUUUGUUAAUUUUAAAAAUCUGAAAUAUCUAGAAUCCAAAUUUAACAAUGUAUUCUAAAAAAAACAAAUUUCCUAAAAUGUCUACUUAAAAAAAAAAACCAAAGGAGGAAACAUAACUUAGAGAAUAUAAAAUGACAACUUAAAAUCCAAUAAAUUAUUUUACUAAAAUUAAUUCAAUCAUUAUAAAUAUAUCAUAUAUAAAUAUUGAUUCUUUCUUAUAUGGUGCUAAGAUUUGGAAAAAUCAGUUUUUUUUAUGAAUCACGUGUUGAUAUUACUUCCUGGAGGUUUACUGCUCCAAACUGUUUUAUCAUCUUGAAGAAUAAGCAGAAUGAUAGACAUAAAUAUUUAUUUAGUACCUAGUUAAUAUUAAACAUGUGUUUUACAAUAUGAGUGAUCAUAUUUAAUUUUAAUCGCUGUAUCCACCAUAAAAAUGUUGAUAGAUUCUACAAGAAAACAGAAAAGUAAGUCAAAAACAAGAAAGCACUUCUGCAUGGAUGGAGGAGCUGUGGUUUUGUUUUGGUUUGGUUUUUUUAAAGCAGGAAUCAUGGGAAUAGAAGGUCAAUGUAAACAAUCUGUCUACAGAGUGUAACUGUUGAAAUGAAUUAUAUCCACUGACCUACACAGAAUUACCCACUUAGAGACAACACUUAACUGCACUAUCAACCUUCAAAGACGUCUGUACCAUACUCAUAUGAAUGUAAGAGAAAGACAGUUUACUAUAACAUGUUCAGAUCACAUUUAAAAAUAACAAGCUGCAUGCAUAUACAUGAUCAAAAUAGAAAUCAAUACUUCCCCUAAACCCUUGCAUUAGGCCAUAAGUAAUCCCUAAAACUCCUUUACAUUUUAUAUCUUUGGAAGAAUAGCCAUGUAUACACAUUUCAUCCUAGCAAGGACUGCUAUAUCAUCUCAAUAGAGAAUGUGUUACUCUCUCAGCAGGAAAAAUACCUGUUCAGAAUAAGCAGAAUCAAUAAAAUAUAUACAAAAAUUAUAAUCUGCUUAUACUUGAGUCAUGUGGAUAUUUAUAAUUGAAAAUAAAUUGCAGGUUUAUACAAUGAAAGGUUAGCAAUGACCGUGUCUGAUUGGUAAAUUAUAGGUAAUUAAAAAUAUAAAUGAAACUUGUUCUAUUUUCAGUCAACAAUUAUGUAACGAGUCCUCACCAUAUCCAAAGUAUAGUUUUGGUAUGGUGUUUUAAGAAGAAUUUUUACAGUACGAUUUUCUCAUUAAAUUUGGUGGAAGGAGCAUAGUUAAAUUUUGGUUUUAAAGAGAGAAACUUGAAGACUAAAAACUGCCAACAAUGGAAAAUUAUCUCAUGAAGUUUGCAUCUAAAGGCUUUGUGGUGGGUAACUUUUUGUUCCCUAAACAAAAUUUCUUUGGAUGCACAAACUUUCAAACAAAAAACUCCAUGAAAUCCUGGGCAGAGAAGGAGGGCACAGUCCUGGGAUCACAUGUAGGAGGUUCAUGCCUUGAGGGCAAUUAUAGAACCAGGUCCAAUGGCACAGCAGCUGAGCCCAAGCCUGCAAGACUGCAAGUCACUGAGUCUGAGCUGUGUAGCUCUGGAAGCAGAAAUUCUAAGCAGGGCAGAUGUAUCAUCCUCCUAAAAGCCGGAGCCUGAACUGCCGUAAGUGUUUGUCUCAUCCCCAGUUCUUCACAAUUCUCAAGGGGUUCAGAAACCACUGAGUCCUUUCUGUUUGCCUGUUUAGUUUGUUAGUUUAUUAGUAGUAUAUUAGACAUUUUAGGAAAAAAUAUACAACACAAUUUAUAUAAUUUUCCCUAAAAGAAAUAAAACACCAGGUGUUAUAUUCUUGAGAGUCUACUCUCUCCUUACUGUUUUUACAAACUAGAGAUUUGGGACUUGCCGUUUACAGGUUGAAAAAUAAGGUUUCCCUCGCCCUGCAAGUGAAUGUGUUGUUUCAAGUACAAUCAGUUUAUAAGUGCUGUACACUUAAUACAGAAAAAAAAAAUCCAAAAACGAAUGAAGUUCGUUCUGUAACCUAAUUAAGUUUAAGGAUCCAUUUUCUUGAGGGGGACAGAAUAGCACAAGUACAGAAUGGAGCAUGAGUGCCACAGUGCGUAAUAGCUCAAACUAAAGGCAUGACAAUAAGCUUGUUUUCCAUUAUUGCAGAACCAAUAAAUAAGUAUAAUGAAAAUCACGACACAUUAUUACAUUACUCUGCAUUGCCUCUAUUCAUUUAAAAAAAAAACAAGAUGAGUGCAUUUAAAAUACUUCCACAUGUCAAAUGACAGUAAGCUUUGCAAUUGAGAGGAUGCUGAGAGGAAUAUUUUAAAGAGCAGAUGCCUAGUCUUAUGAGGCUUAUAUCAAGAUUAUGGUAGGAGAACAAGAUAUGUAAGCAAUAACUACUUCACACUAAGGUGGUGGUAGCAUGGCAUCCGAACAUUUAUGUCUUUCAUUUGCACUGUGUUUUCUUGAUAUUAUGCAGUCAAUAAAAACCAAAUUAAAAAAAAGCUUUAGCGAAAGCUUCCAUGUCAAUUAGCCCUUGGAUAGAAUCUCCUGUUUCCCUGUGAUUUAAUAUACUGGGAUUAUAUUAACAGCGCGGGCUUGUAAAUAAGGAAUAUCUGGAUCCGAUUAAUGGGAAUAGACUGCCAAAACAAUCAGCCUCUAACUUAACAAGUUUCUAAGUAUUUAGAAAAGCUGUGAAAUAGGAUUACAAGGUUAAACUGUGUACAUCUGGCUAGCCACUAUAUAAAUAUUUCAGAAAUGUGAUCUCAUGGGCUGAAGAAACACCUGUCUAAUCAUGAGUCUUUUCCAAGAUACAUGAACUUCACUGAGCAGAGGAGUGUAUGAAUGUUGACAAGAAAUCUUCAUCAAUUUGCAUAAUUUACUUCUUAUGCUAGGCACAUAAUUUCGUCAUGUUCCUCUCUUCUAAGUGAACAUACAAAAGCAUUCUGGAAUGACUCUCUGCCACCACGCAUCUGUUGACAAAAAGUGCCCAAUUCUUUUCCAUGGACUGUAGCACGCAAUUGAACUGCAGUUAGAUAUUUGAAGCAUAAAUUUAGGAUGCCAUGGAGGCUGCGAAUAAUUAACGAGAAGCAGAGGCCUGUCAUAAAGUAGCAGUCACAACUUGGGCAGUGCUCCUAGUUUAUAGAAACCUUAAUGAUGUAGAAAAUCAGAUGUUCUUCACCAGACUCAAAAUUGAACCACUGUGUUGACUCUUUGUCAAGUACACACCACCCCGUUAAGCUCGAUGUUAGUUUAGAUUUUUAAGAAAGGAGUAAUUAGGUUGGACAUGUGCAGUGUAGGGCACUCACCAAAUUAUCUUAAAACACUCAGUGUGAAAACACCAGCUUUGACUCUCUAGUCAAAAAAUGGAAGCUAAAGGUCAUGGGCUCAAAUUUCUAAUGACAUUUCCUGAGAGGAGAUGGGCGAAAUGGACGCUAAAGAUUGGAUGGUCAAUGCUUUCAUGCACUAUGUUUCAUGUUUUAUGUACCUUAAUUUCCUAACGAGAUGAUGGAUUAUUGCAAUUAACCAAGUGAAAUGAUACCCCACUUCCCUAACCGGCAUAUUUCCAGGGGACACCAAACCAGUGGUCCUUUCCUUCUCCCACCCUCUCAGCAUGCUAUUCUCCGUCCUGAAAUUCUCAACCAAGACUACAAUAUUUCUAAAUAAUGUAUAACUCCUUGGAAAUUUCAUUUUUGCUGUAGUGUGAUGAAUAUUUAACACAAACAACCAAACUUAUGCAUCCUAAAUUUCAAUGGGAAAUUUCAAGUAAAAGAAAAUACAUAAUUUUUUUUGCCUAAAUUUAAAAUGAAGUUCCUUUGGUUGCACAAUAAGUGAAAAUGCUGGGCUGGUUGCAAGAUGCAUAGCUGUAAACAGAAAAGUUUACUAAAAACCAAAAGUGAAUAAAAUUUUCAUUUUUAGAUGUGACAGGUGAGAGAGGGUGUCUUCACUGUAUCUUUUAGUGUACAUGCCUGCCAGAAAGAUAGAAAGGACUCAUAUUGUAAGGCUUCUUUUUCAUUUCGUUCAUAUAAAUUAAUCAACCUUUGUAUUUUUAAAAUAUAUAUAUUCAUUUCUAGAAUUUAAAAGAACAGAGGGAUUGUUUAUUUUAACUAAUAGUCCAAAUUUUCUUGUCUACUUAAGUGCAAUUUCAAAAAGAAAUACAUGAAACUAUUUAAUGCAAUCAAUAAAUAUCUCUCUCUACACUGAAUUACCAACUAUGUCAAUCCGAGAUAUAAACAUAAUUCAGUUAAUUUGCCAAUAAAUACUACCAAGGUUUGUCACCACAUAUAUCUGAUUUUUAAGUAGAAACCAUUCCUGCAGAUGUAAAUACACAAGGAACUUUAAUAUAUACGUUAACACAUAUUUGCCACUGGAAAUUCACAGACAAAAAGACCAACAUGGCAAAAAUGAAAGCAUUUCUGAGAGUUCAGGAUAAGGUGAAAGCAAUGCUUCCUUACAUCUAUCUCAUUAUUCUCUACUUUUGUUCAUGGUGUUAGAGAUUGGACUCCAGGCCUUGGACACAGUAGGAACCUGCUGUACCAUUGAAGGACAUGUCUAAAUAUUGGCUACCUGAGACAAAGUCUGACUGUAUAAUUCAACCUGGCCUACAUCUCAAGCUCUGCUUGCCUGUGACUUCAAAGUACUAAGACCACAGGUGUGUUCCUUUACAGUGAUUAGAAAGACGCUUGAAAAACCUUUCACUGUUGUUAAGCAGAUGAGAAAAGUUAAGUUGGAGAUCUUGUGAAAUGAUGCACAAAUGCUUGAAAGCUUGCACUCUUGCAAAAUCUUCAAGACUCUCAACAUCAUUUGGGAUCUUCCAAUAUAGAAGAUGCUUUGUCAAUGGUCUUUAAAAAAAAAAAAGCAUACACGUAUAUGUAAAAUGUCUCAAGGAAAAGGCAGAGAGGAGAGAAAUGAGUAAAACAUGCACAGUUUAUGACAGGCCCCGGGUGUGGUUAGUAAUGUUUGAUAGAAUAUCUGCUUCAAUGCCCUUCAAACAAAGAAAGCUGCCAAACAGGCAGUUACCACAUCUACCAUAUCUACAUCCUCUGCAUUCAGCAGAAUGGCUGUCAGUGGGCCUUUCUUCCAAAUCUCCAAUGUUACAAAAUGAAAUUAUAGACUUGAAGCACAAUGUUUAUGAUGAGUGUGAACGUAAACGUCAGCAGCGAGAGUUUACUGUCUGCAGGCUCACCUCACUCAGUAUUGAACACCACUAAAUUGAAUCUUUCAAGAAGUGUCUGUGUUCUCCAUAAAAUGUCGAGAAAUCAUAAACAUUUAAAAAUUCUAAUUUAUGCUCCUUUUUAUAUUAUUCCUUUCCUUUAUAGCCUACAUGCUCUGGUUAAGCAGAACUACGUGACAGCUUUUUUUUCCCCCUUAGACGUGAUACUAUUCUACCACCAAAAUAUCCCCUCAUUCCUUGAAUUAAUUUUUAAUAUGAUUUGAAAAUUUAAUUUUCUUGCAACUUUUAUUCUUUCAAGUCCCUUUAUCCUUAGAUGUGAAUGAACCUUGCAGAUAGAACUCAGAUGGAGAGCACCUAAGUUUUAAAACAGCAUAAAAGUAAACAAUUUAAUUUAAUAUUAACAGUAUUUUACUAUGUAUUCAUUGGACUCAUGAUUAUGAAUCAAAACCAUAGAUUUUGACUAUAAGUUAAAUAACAGUAGGAAAAUAGGGAGUAUGAUAGCCCUCAAAAUAAUUUUUUUUUUUAGUAUAGGCACAAGAAUUAGAUUAGCACCUACAUAGUCAAAACAGAUUUUGAAUUUUGUGAACAAAUGUGUGUGUGUUUAUUCUUUAUAUAUCUGAUAAUGGCAGUGUAAUUUUCUGUUGAUAUUAUCACAUGACCAAAAGCAUGUACAAAUGUAAUAAGCCUUAAAACUAUACCUCAACAAAUAGAACCAGAUAUUUAUGAUUCAACCAUUAUUUCAUCUUAUUAAAAAUUACUUAAGGAAGUAUUUGCAUCUAAGUGCCUCAAAACAUAAACAAAAUGAUUGUGGCAAAUUAUUGAUUUCUUAGAAUUGGAUGAGAUAGCUUUAUAAAAUGUAUAUGACAACUGAGUGACAUAAUUGUAAUGCUGUGUAAGUCACAGCAAAGAAUAAAAAGAAUUUAAAUAAAUGACAAUCAACACCAUUGUCUCUUUGAAUGCUACAUACAUAUGCAUAUGUAUGUAUGUAAACUAUAUAUAGUAUGGAGUAAUACUGAGAAAACUUGAGGCUAAUAAAGACUGCAAUCUUUGAACAUCGAUUUUCUCUAUGAACGUGAAACAUAUCAGCAAAAAUACACAGGCUUUCUUAUUGCUCUUGUUUGAAAGGUACCAGGUCAGGUAUAAAUUAUAAAAAUUGAGAUGUGCUACCCCUCUUCAAUUAUUCCACCUAGACAAGAUCAAUUACCUGAAUCUUAAUAUCAUGUAGCUGAAACACUCAUCCAGGCAUUUAACACUGUUGAAAUUUGAAAGAAUUAAAAUAAUCUACAAGCUGUGUGCAGACCACUUAGCUUUUCAUCAAGAACAGCGCUUAGGCAGCACCACCACUUUAAGAGAAAAGAGAUGAACUGGAUGGAAAGAAAUAGUUAAUUCUCGCGUCCUAAUAUCUUUAUUAUCUGUCUUUUAAACGCUUAGGCGUCAGGUAGCUUUGAAACCAAGCAGGAAAAAAAAAUUAUUCUUUCAGCUUCUACUCGCGUUGAUCCACUUUUGCUCUGUUUCUCAAGGCAGCCGAAUAUUCUUAUUGUUUUACUUCAAACUUAACUCAGACCGCGGAGGAUAGUAAUGGGAAAUAUUACCCACUCCUUCCGUGAGUUGUUCCAUGUCAGCUUUUUGCCUACGGCAAAUUUAAUGGCUGAUUUGUGGAUCUUUAUUUCUGGAGAUUUACUACAGAAACACUGACAUAACCUUUACCCAGAGCAAACACUCACUCUAAUAAGAAGGAGACACCGAACCCAAAAACGCACAAGGAAGAGAAAAAUCCUGGCAGGAAUUAAUCUACCAUUUUCACACUCUGCCCAAGGGAAGUAUUGUAAUUGCAAAAAUUUACUCUAAGACUGCUGAGACUCAUAGUAAUUAUGUUUCUUUUUUUUUUAAUAGAAAUAGCCACAGGUGGUAACAAAUUGGGUUUUGAGAUGGGGAACUGGGCAUGUAUUCUAACCCAAAUUACGGUGUAAUAGUCUUCAUUAUAUAAAAAAUUAUUAUGGAAAAUCUAUUCUUCAAAAUAAGAAGAAAAAAUAUCAAAUGUAUUUCUCAUGUUUCCUUUUUUUUCUCUUAGUCAUUUGGAUUCAGUAUGACAUCUCAGAACAGACCUUGGGUAAUAACUUUCAAAGAUUGUUCUGAGUGUUGGUUUGUUUAAAAAGAUUGUUGUCCUCUUUCCCAACUUAUUAUCAUCUAGGGAAAAAUAAUAAUUUUCCCCUGAAGGUUAAGACUUAAACACAGCUAAUAAUUACUAACCAUGGUUGUGGUGACAGAAAAGUACAAGUGCACUUUUUAGAGAUGUUUACGUCGACCUAUGAAUUGAUACUGAAUUCUUUGUUAUUUUCAUACAGGUGUAUGAAGUCCUACAUAUUACUCUAAGUUAAUUCCAUAGAAUAAGGUGACUAUUUUCUGUUAAUACAGAGAAUUUCACAAUUCCUAUGUCCAGUAAAACUCAA
rnacentral:sRNA from 1 species